UACUGCCUUUUUGCUUGGGAGGGCAGAAUAUGCCAAGCAGUAUUGGCAACUCCAACAUUAAAGAAUAGUCAUAGCUGUGCAAUACAACAUAUGGCUGCAAACGUAUCAAAGUUACUAAGUAAUUUGUGGUAAUAUAUUACACAAUAUGUCAAAAGAAAUCCAAUAAAUCCCCCCCUGCAACUUACAUUUCAACGCAACCCUUUCAGUUAUUCUUGUUACUGUACACAAUUUUUUAUUUCACCUUUAUUUAACUAGUCAGGUCAGUUAAGAACAAAUUCUUAUUUUUAAUGACGGCCUAGGAACAGUGGGUUAACUGCCUUGUUCAGGGGCAGAGCAACACCUUUUUACCUUGUGUGCUCAGGGAUUCGAUCUUGCACAGCUACCUACCUGGUGGGUCCUAGUCCAACGCUCUAACCACCAGGCUAUCUGGUGAUUACUAGUCCAACGCUCUAACCACUAGGCUACCUGGUGGUUACUAGUCCAACGCUCUAACCAUUAGGCUACCUGGUGGUUCCUAGUCCAACGCUCUAACCACUAGGCUACCUGGUGGUUACUAGUCCAAUGCUCUAACCACUAGGCUACCUGGUGGUUACUAGUCCAACGCUCUAACCACUAGGCUACCUGGUGGUUACUAGUCCAACGCUCUAACCACUAGGCUACCUGGUGGUUACUAGUCCAAUGCUCUAACCACUAGGCUACCUGGUGGUUACUAGUCCAACGCUCUAACCACUAGGCUACCUGGUGGUUACUAGUCCAACGCUCUAACCACUAGGCUACCUGGUGGUUACUAGUCCAAUGCUCUAACCACUAGGCUACCUGGUGGUUACUAGUCCAACGCUCUAACCACUAGGCUACCUGGUGGUUACUAGUCCAACGCUCUAACCACGGCUACCUGGUGGUUACUAGUCCAACGCUCUAACCACUAGGCUACCUGGUGGUUACUAGUCCAAAGCUCUAACCACUAGGCUAACAGGACUCAUGGGAAACUGAAGGGACUGUGAGGGAAGUUUAGGUAGAGAGGAGGGGACCAAAACAGCAGAAACGUUUCUCCUUGCACUUGAACAAUCUUAGUUGUGGUGGAAAUGUACCCAAUAUUUUUAGUUUGUGCAACGUCUUCUCGCAGAGUAGAACUUUUAACAGCUAAUUUCCCUACUCCAGAACUCUACUAUAAAUAUUUGCAGAUCCGAAGGGUGUGAGUGAAUAAGUUUAAGCUUUGCAGUGGCUUAGUCUUCACUACAUUGCUUUGACCUUUACAGAUCUGUACAUGUCAAAUAGUUAGGGUCAAAGAGGAGGUGAGUGGAGACGAUUGUAACCCCGCCAGUGUCAGGGUAAGCAGCUCAAAGUGUACCGUCGACCAAUUUACCGGAUUGAGUGAGAUCUGAACAACCCUCACUGGCCUCUGAUCUUGAGUCUUGGGCCUCUUCCUGGUGUCUCUGUCUUGACUCUUUAAUAAAUGCAUUUUUUUUUCUUUCAGUCCUUUCCCCCAGGCUUGCCUUAAAAACACAAAAGAUGGCACAACAAAUCCAUAUUUGGUGUCCACAUUCACAGCAAGCAAUGACUUCAUCAAGCUUGUGACUCUACACAUUUGUUGGAUGCAUCUGCUGUUCGUUUUGCUUGUGUUACAGAUUAUUUUGUGCCCAAUACAAAUGAAUAGUAAAUAAUACAUUGUCAUUUUGGAAUCACUUUUUAUUAAAAAUAAGGAUAAAAUAUGUUUCUAAACACUUCGACAUUGUGGAUGCUACCCUGGUGACGGAUAAUCCUGAAUGAAUCGUGAAUAAUGAUGAGUGAGAAAGUUACAGGUGCACAAAUAUCAUAACCCCAAGACGUGCUAACCUCUCACCAUUACAGUAACUGGAGGUGGGGGAGGUAUGAUAUUUGUGUGUCACUCGUCAUUAUUCAGCUGGUCUGAACAUGCUCUGAGAAUGCAGUUUAGGAUGCCACAGUCUUGCCAGGGUUAACAUGCUAAAACUACUUCAUCGCGGAGUACGAGAGCACACACUACUUGUAAGCGUGAGGGUGCCCGCAUUGCCACCAGAACAUUCCUCAGUCUACAUGUUCAAAACUGUUGAACCAUAGAUUCCGAUUUAGAAAUGGAUAAACCUCCUCUCUUUUGCCAGAGAUAACUUCCUCCAACUCUCAGAGCUGAGGAUUAUGCUGCUGGGACAUAUAUGGUCUGGGAAAAGAAGGAAAACACCAUCCUGGGUAGACAAUUGUUUGAGUUAGGAAGAACUACUAUGGCUACAAGGAAGCCAUGACAACAUGGAACUCUAUUCCACAUCAGAAUGAAACAAAACAAGGAGUUCACCGAUCGACACUCCAGGAUGCCGGGUGAAGGUGUGCAGUGUUCCUCUGUCCUCCAGGACCCCACACUCCCCUCCUGGUCAUACGGGUGGAUGCUUCCUACAGUGAGGAAUUAGGAAGAGCAGUAGUGCAACAAAGUCGAGUCUCACACUAUAGUGCUGUUCACCUACGGGGACUUGUCUGGGGGACACAACCAUUGAGCAACACAUCGAGACAGAAUGGAAGGCCCUCCAGCGGCUUGUUUAGAAAUGUGGAAACAGGUGUCAUGUCUUCAUCAAUGAGAACAGGGGGUGAUGGAUAUCAGGUCACAGAGCUGCUGGAGAAUAUGGAGGAUAUAGUGUCAGGAAACAGUGGAGAAGUGUUUCAAACUCAAGAGGAGGACUGGAGUUUCCUGAUGGAACUACGAGGGCCAAUAAGUUGAGCGCGGAGCAUUGUAUUGUAUUGAUUCAUUGUGUUUGUUCUGCUCAGCGUGGUUGCUGGUUACUAGUUCAGUUAAUAUAGUGUAACAACUAACUGAUUCAGUCGAUGCUUCCAUGGCUAUCACACCAAUAACACUGUUUUCUCAAAUCGCACCUCACAUUAAAGGGACUCACAUUAUACAUAUUCAAGUUUAGCAAAAUGUUUGUAUUAAUUCACGCCUACUUUUAAAAAAACUUGUUGCGCUCAUAACUUCAAUUAUUACAUUAGUCCUCCAUUUGUAAUCAGUUCCUCAAGGAUUUUGAGAUUCUGCGAUUGCAGUCAAAUGAUCACAAUAUUACCGCAUAUAACUAACUGUCUGAUCAUUGCACUACAAAAAGAGGGCUUGUCAUAUAUGUGAAACGGUGCCUUUUGAAUUUUGUCUAAUAUUAAUAGCUAGUAGUCUAGUCAAGGAAGCAUUAUCCAAUAUUGGUACACUAACCGUCUGCUAAAUGACUUAAAUGUAAAUGUAGUGGAACUAAAGUAAACCUUGAAUUCGGAGGUUUAAAAUAUCCCUCUGGUGGCCAAAUGGACCUAUUAAAAAGAAAAUUGCCAUUGGUUGGUGGAUAUGAUAGAUUGAUGCGGAAUUUGUUACAGGAAAUAUUCACUGUCAGCUAACGUGCCAGGUUAUCUGUUGAGACAAGCUACAAUGUAGCAUUCUGUCACGCGCAACUUUGUCGACGAUUGUAAUUGGCUGAUGCGCAUUUGGAGACAGGAGAUCCAAAUUAAACUGAAACUUAUUCUAGUGUUCGCAAGUAUGGCUCCCCUCACUUCAGAGUCUAGUCUGUCUGGAAAGGCUAUUUUGAUGUUGUCGGGACAAUGCAUCCCAGUCUGUUGAAAGAUCCAUCCUUGUCACGCCCUGAUCUUAGAGAGACGUUUUAUUUCUCUAUUUGGUUAGCGUGUAAUUUGGGGUGGGUAUUCUUCUAUGUUGUCUAUUUCUUUGUUUUUGGCCGAGUAUGGUUCCCAAUCAGAGGCAGCUGUCUAUCGUUGUCUCUGAUUGGGGAUCAUACUUAGGCAGCCCUUUUUCCCACUUUCUGUUGUGGGAUCUUGUCUAUGUUUUGUUGCCUGUCAGCGCUAGUUGUAUAGCUUCAUGUUUAAUUUUGUUGGUUUUGUUCAGUGUUCAUUUUAUUAAAGAAAAAUGUACGCCUAUCA